rnacentral:rRNA from 1 species
CCGGCGUGUGUGAAGAAGGCCUUAUGGUUGUAAAGCACUUUAAGCGAGGAGGAGGGUACUGGUAUUAAUACUACCAGCUACUGGACGUUACUCGCAGAAUAAGCACCGGCUAACUCUGUGCCAGCAGCCGCGGUAAUACAGAGGGUGCGAGCGUUAAUCGGAUUUACUGGGCGUAAAGCGUGCGUAGGCGGCUAAUUGAGUCGGAUGUGAAAUCCCCGAGCUUAACUUGGGAAUUGCAUUCGAUACUGGUUAGCUAGAGUGUGGGAGAGGAUGGUAGAAUUCCAGGUGUAGCGGUGAAAUGCGUAGAGAUCUGGAGGAAUACCGAUGGCGAAGGCAGCCAUCUGGCCUAACACUGACGCUGAGGUACGAAAGCAUGGGGAGCAAACAGGAUUAGAUACCCUGGUAGUCCAUGCCGUAAACGAUGUCUACUAGCCGUUGGUCUCUUUGAGGGAUUAGUGGCGCAGCUAACGCGAUAAGUAGACCGCCUGGGGAGUACGGUCGCAAGACUAAAACUCAAAUGAAUUGACGGA